UUCACAAUGAAAUUAUGCACGUUAUGCAGCGUUGAGGCCAUUUUUAAAGAGUGGGAUGUGUGUGUGUGGUUUUUUUCCAGACAAGCUGCGUUUUGCUGAUUCUGUUAUAAAUAAAGUUACAGAGAAGUCUAGGCAAAGAGAAGCCGAUAUGUACCGGAUAAAAGAUAAAUCAGACAGGGCGACGGUAGAACAAGUCCUGGAUCCAAGAACACGGAUGAUUCUCUUCAAGAUGCUUAGCAGAGGUGUGAUCUCCGAGAUCAAUGGUUGUGUCAGCACUGGAA